rnacentral:rRNA from 1 species
CAUUACCGUGCCUCGUCGGGACGCCCCCGGGCGUUCCCGCACCGGCCACCCGUGUCUACCGAACCUCUGUUGCCUCGGCGGGCCCGCCGCCCCGGACCGCUUUGUCCGGGGGGGCCGCCGGGGACGCCUUCACCGCGCCCCGGGCCCGUGCCCGCCGCAGGGACUCUCGAACUCGUGUGAAGCAAAGUGAGACAGGAGUCUGAGAACCAAUCAAAUGCAGUUAAAACUUUCAACAACGGAUCUCUUGGUUCCGGCAUCGAUGAAGAACGCAGCGAAAUGCGAUAAGUAAUGUGAAUUGCAGAAUUCCGUGAAUCAUCGAAUCUUUGAACGCACAUUGCGCCCUCUGGUAUUCCGGGGGGCAUGCCUGUCCGAGCGUCAUUGUGACCCCCUCAAGCCCGGCUUGUGUGAUGGGCCAGCGUCCCUCGCCUCCGCGCGGGGGACGGGCCUGAAAGGCAGCGGCGACGUCCACCGCCUGACCGGAACGCAUGGGGACUUCUGUCACGCGUUUCAGGUGGCGGGUCGGCGUCGGCCUCGUCUUGCAUCGUCAACCCCUUCAACCGUUGACCUCGGAUCAGGUAGGGAUACCCG